ensembl:lncRNA
AGUGUCUCAUUCACUGAAAUGAACACGGCCAUUUUAGAAACCCAGCAAAGAUGGAAAUGGCUACAAAAAACAACGCCACGGUCCCCGGGUCUGACGCAAAGCCACAGACUGAGCAGCAGUUCCAAGACUCCGACUCGACUCUUCUGCAGUGCAGUCUCCUGGAUGCUGGUCGCUGUCGUUAAGACCCACCGUGUCAGUCUGCAAGCCCACUCCUGGGAAACGCAACUACCUACUCUUCUCACCCGGGUCGUCCUGCCCAUAAUUCUCCUUUGGAUCGUUGGAAAUAUAAGGUCACAACUCUCCGCCACGCACCCUGAUAUUCAGCAAGAUGCUCACUCCGCCACCCUCCCAGAAACCUUCCUUCUCACGCGUGCAACUGUUUGCGUGUCGAGGAGCCUGUGCCUUCACCAGGGAAGUCUCAAAUUUCCCAGGAAUGGGUGGACCAAAGACCAGCUUUCCAGAGUCAUCAUUUUGUUUUAGGUUUUUUUUUUUUCAUUUUGUUAGACACGGCACAGUUGAAAGUAAAAGACGACCACUCUAAUUUGUCAUGUGUUGUCAUAUUUUGAUAUAUUUGAUUACUUUUUAUUGGUUAUAUUAUAUCGGGUAAAAAUCACCCGGCAUUAGUGAUUGUGUUACUAUUUACAGCGAUAGUGUUCUAGGGUUAAAUAGUAUCUUUAGAGACUUUGUUACAGUGACGUAUUGUAAAACAUUGCAAUAAUUUACAUCAAAUUAUCAGUAUCAGUUCUAAAAACUGAUCUACAGCUAUCAACAAUACCUGAAAGUCAUCUUCUUAAGGAAUAGGAAGAAAUUCAGCAAAGACCUGACGCAGGACCGUCUGUCUGCUGUUCACAUGAAAAAGGGUCUCAGUGGAGGAGCUGCUGUCCAUAAAGAAGGAAAUCAGGAAGACUAAGCUGAUGUAUUUGAUAUUCCACAAGAACUUGACUGAAAAUUAGUGGCAACGGGGUUUAUGGAGUAAAGAAUCCACAUUUGACCUUUUUGUCUUCAGUGUGCACAGAGGAGGUCAUUCCUGCAGCACUAUAAUCCACAACAUGUUCUCCAUAGAUGUGCGUACAUACAUGCUCUACAGCUAGAUUUUGAGAUUUUGUGUGAUUGCCAUUUAUUAAAACAUCCAUCCAGUUAUUUCAGGAUUGCCAGGAAACUAUUCCAGGUAUCAUAGAGCAAGAGGCAGGCUUCACCCACGACCGACCGUUAACGCCUACAUUCACACUUAUGCUCAAUUUUAGAAUCACCAGUUAACUAAACCCCAUGCAUGUUUUUGGACUGUGGAAGGAAGCAGGCGUACCCAGAGAGAACCCACGGAGACACUGGGAGAACAUGCAAGCUCCACACAGAAAGCCCCCAGCCUGGAUUCAAACCCAGGACCUUCUUGCUAACCACUCCUGCUAACCACAGUACCCACAUGCCAGAAGGCUCAGAAUAAAAGAAAACUAUUUAUUAAGAAAUGUAAAAAUGAUCACAGAGCCUGUAUAAAUGGUAACGUAUGAUAAAUACUGUGAGGUCCUUUCAAGGGAGUGAAGGCCAGACAUGAAGUCUACAUCAGCAUCCACACAGGAAAUGAAAAUGAUACGAACCCUGCAACUCUUCACACUUUGCCGUGGAAGAUCAAACUUGUUGUCAGUGUAACAACACCCUGCCCAAAUGAACCAUCACACCUCGACUGUGUUUGUGUAAAUAUGCUGCAGGGCAGGUGUGUCUCUUUACCAGCACCUCUGGGGUCAAAGGUCAGAUGUCUCCAGAGCCAGGGACACAGUUAACUCUUUAUUUUGUUAGUUAACUUUCAAGUAAAAUUUCAAGUGACUUUUAGUAAACCCAGACUCAUUGUUUUAUAUCUAAACUUCUAUUCCAUACUAUUACAACUUGCACAUUAAAGAAACUCAUAUCCAUGUGUUCUUGGUUUCCAAAGUAGCUUGAGUUAUUUUCACUUCUUCCUUGCAUGCUGACUGAAUCCUGAACAGAAUGACUGUCAAAGCGCCUCACAAGCCACGAUAACACAGCAAAAACCACAAUCAAGUAAUUGUGAUGUCAAUUAUUUAACACAGCUAUUCAUUCAUUUCACAUAACGCACUUAAAAAUCACAGUUGCUUUAAUCAUCCAUCUCUAACACACCAUCUCAUGACUGAUGUGUUAUUAUGUAAGCGUCAGUUACAGGCGUGAGCUGCACUGACUACCACAGUUAAUGUGCUGCUGCAUGCUACAGGCCAUCCACAAAGUUUGUGCAGCCGUUCUGGUGAGUAAAAUUCAUGUUUUUAUUAGACUGUUACUCAGCACUGUUUAGCAGUUACAGUUUGCAAACCAAGCUGUCUAGUUGAUAAAUGAACAAUUCACCAGACAUUUCUGAUUGGUCAGCACCGUUACAGGCCUUUCUGUGUGGAGUUUACAUGUUCUCCCUGUGGGUAUGUGGGUUCUCUACAGGUACACCAGCUUCUUCCAAAGUCCAAACAGAGGCAUAUUAGGUUCAUGGUGAGUCUGUGGAUGUAACUCUGUGCCCUGGGUCGUAUUGGCGACAUGUCCAUGGUGUACUCUGCCUCUUGCACAGUGAAUACAAGAGGCAAAAGACCCUGUUGUGGAUAAAUGAGUAAGAAAAUUUACAGAGGGAGUUAACAUAGAAGCUGACGACAAAGCAACAGAAGGUUCCUUAAAGUGUUUAAUCACACAAAGAAUCUUUGUCAUAGUGAUGUUAAAUUUUUGAGUUUGGGGUUUUGAAUAUGAUGUAGAUAUAUGGUGUACCAGUCAAGCCUAACAGACCUCUCUGCACUGCAUCACACUUGUUAUUAAUCCCUGUCUCUCUUCCACAGCAUGUCUUUAUCCCGUCUCCCACAGGGUUUAAAUCUGGGACUCUCGGCCAUUUGACCUUAGAACUGAAGAAGCUUCUGGGAUGAGAGGUGAAACGUCUUCAAGCAACUUAAAGAAGUCCAGACGCUUUUCUUUGCAAAUUCCUUUGACUACGAUGAGCUGGAUGACUGAGAACCUUCACAGACUUUAUCCCGUCUUCUUUCUCUCACCCCAACCGGUCGCAGCAGAUGGCCCCGCCCCUCCCUGAGGGAGUUUUUCCUUCCCACUGUCGCCAAAGUGCUUGCUCAUAGGGGGUCAUAUGAUUGUUGGCUUUUUCUCUGUAUCUAUUAUUGAACGAUCUGCUGUACAAUAUAAAGCGCCUUGAGGCGACAGUUGUUGUGAUUUGGAGCUGUAUAAAUAAAAUUGAAUUGAAUAUAUUUCCUCAAUUCAUUGAAACUAUAUUUUUUUCAAGAGUACAGAACCACCUGACAAAGAAAUGCAAAGAAAAACAGACAUACUUAUGGUUUAGAAGUUGCAUCUCAAACAGUGACAGCAAUUCCAAGGUGCAUUUAUCUCAACCUAAAGAUGUCUUUUAAAAACUCGACAUACCUACACAUUACAAAGUAAACACAUAAAAUACUUUGGUGAUGUUACACAGAAGAGACAUUUGAUAACCCAUGGGAAAAACCUGGAACAAUGAUCUUUUUCAGCACACAGUGUAAAAU